rnacentral:rRNA from 1 species
CUGCAAGCGUUAUUCGGAUUCACUGGGCGUAAAGGGUGCGCAGGCGGCCAAGUGUGUGAGGCGUGAAAGCCCGGGGCUUAACUCCGGAAUUGCACCUCAAACUACAUGGCUAGAGCAUUGGAGAGGGUAGCAGAAUUCACGGUGUAGCAGUGAAAUGCGUAGAUAUCGUGAGGAAUACCAGAGGCGAAGGCGGCUACCUGGACAAUUGCUGACGCUCAGGCACGAAAGCGUGGGGAGCAAAAGGGAUUAGAUACCCCUGUAGUCCACGCCCUAAACGGUGCACACUAGGUCUUGGCGGAUUCGACCCCACCAGGGCCCAAGCUAACGCGUUAAGUGUGCCGCCUGAGGACUACGGCCGCAAGGCUA